rnacentral:rRNA from 1 species
UACAGAGGGUGCAAGCGUGAAUCGGAAUUACUGGGCGUAAAGCGCGCGUAGGUGGUUUGUUAAGUUGGAUGUGAAAUCCCCGGGCUCAACCUGGGAACUGCAUUCAAAACUGACAAGCUAGAGUAUGGUAGAGGGUGGUGGAAUUUCCUGUGUAGCGGUGAAAUGCGUAGAUAUAGGAAGGAACACCAGUGGCGAAGGCGACUCACUGGACAUCUGUUGACGCUGAGGUGCGAAAGCGUGGGGAGCAAACAGG